GGCAGGCGAGGAAAGUCAAAACACCGAAUUGCCGAAUCUCGAUCAGUUUGAGUAACAGCUAUAUGCGAUAGUGAACCGAUCUGAACAAUAGAUUCGGAGAGUAUUGUUGCCUGGGAAAAUGAACUAAGCUAAUAAAUAAUCUAAAAAGUUUUCCAUGUAAGCACUUUAUUUCGAUCCUUCAGGUUGUAUGGCAGCUACAUGCUCAGUUCAAAGAAAUAUCUCACAUAUUGACCGGUAAUACUACUUAUAUGAAGGCUGGGAAAAACAUGUAGCAAUUUGUUAUAAUUUCGGAACUAAACCAUAGCAUAUUCAGUGGAAACUUUAUGGAUGUCCGGUGACCCCGAUAUUUUCGGAAAAAAUCGGUCAUACGCACUGGGGUCCACCUAUUCGGUACCUUGUGGCUUCAACAGUUAUGAUCCGAUCUUGAAAAUUUUAAGACUUGAGAUGGCAUAUAUUAAAGGGAAAAGUGAAAGAAUUAUAUGGAAUUCGGUCUGUUAUAAGAGAAGUAGUCGAGAUUAUAGUCCGAUUUCGCACUGUUGGACUCAACGGAUGGACAAUCUGAGACGUAGCCGCGAGCAACAUUUAAAAAGGAUAAUCCUCUAAAAAUAAAUGCCAAAAGAUGCUCUUUCGAAUGAUAAUAAACAUUUCAUAUUAAAUUUUAA